AGGCAGUACAUGCAUGAGUCAUAUAUUGUAAUGACGAAGCUUAGAUGAGAGCUAUAGGUUACGUGGCCGCCUGCAUGCAGCGCGCAGUCUGCCAUUUGCAUAGAGUUAGUAGAACAACUCUAGAGGAAAAGCUGGGCCGGAAAAGUGGGAACCUCUAGGGCGCCGCCCUGUUGCUACUGGUCAAUGUGGCCAGCGCAAUUACUAUUGAAAGAGCUGAGAACAAGUACAGGUCACCUUAUGCUUUGUCACCUAAAAACGCAUGUCUGAUGACUUUAUGAAGGUGGUGCGUUAAUAUUAAGUUUAUAGAAAGCGAUCGCUAAGUCCGUGACUUAUGUAAAUCACGAUGUACGCAUUCAUGCAAUAAAGGAUGACGCGAAUUUCGGUUUCGAAUCUGUUUUUUGGAUGCGUAGUAGUUUCGUUUGACAUGCGAUCGCGCGUCGACAUCGGACGCUAUGACACACUCGUGCCUUAUGUGCCACCGAAGCCCCGAAGUGGUCUGGCAUAUACCUUCACAUAUAUGCAAUGGCAAGCCCUUCCGUGUGUUCCAAAGACAAUGCCUACGCCUAGCCACAGCAGCUCCCUCAUACAGACUCCACAAACCAAGAGGCCGUGGAGGCAAAUGCAGGCAGCCAGCACACCUCGAACAGCCACCUUGACUGCAGGUGUGUCACCCUAGUCGCCAAGGAAACAUUUGAGGGAAAGUGACAGGCAAUGUGAACAGCCACUUCUCCAUGUAAACAAUACUCUUUCUCUCGGAUGACUCCUACGCCUCACCACGCCAGCGCACUUGUGCACAAAGAUGCCGCAGAGGCACGUGCAGGUCUGAGGCAAGAAGCAGUGGCACUGGUGUCGACAUUUACCCAAUUUCUUUUUCUUACACUGAGGCAGCCAGCACACCUCGAACAGCCACCUUGACUGCGGGUGUGUUAGUUGAUUCCUGUUGUACAUAUGCUCAUAAUAUACUUCAGUAAACUUGAACUUCAUAAUAAACUUGAAGGCAAAUGGGACAUUGAUGCAUUGUAUUUUUGAACAUUUAUUGUACACAUACAAUAUAUGUUAUACUUUGCAGUGCUACAGAGCGUAUUUUGAAGCUUCCCCCUAUAUUUUGCACCUUUAAUUAUGUAUGUGUUGUGUGGCCCUCAAUGCAGUUCAUGUUGUAGCAGCUGCUUUGUCUGUGUAUCGCACAUUGGCUUAAGCUCGUGAUACCCACAUACUUCUCUCACAUAUACAAAAUAAAGUUCUAUGUAGUCCUCAGUGUUACAACAAAAAAUUAAACUAAACAAUCCGAUCGUGGAAUUAUGUUUACUACAGUGAUUCCUACGACAGUUACUGACAAUUUGACAACUUGAACUGGUCAAUCGGUCCAUAGCCGCCUCUAUUUUUCAAAAAUAAAGGAGGCUAUGAUCCGUCAUGGCAAGGAAUUGUAUGUAUACAUAAAAAAAGGGGGUAUGUGUGUGUUUGUAGUGGGGGUAUAGGAUUAGGGCGGUACGAAAAAAUGUACCAACACCGUCCUCUAGACCCAUUCCGUUGAGGUACCGUAACAAAACGUAUUAUGCAUAAAGUUCAUACAACCAACUCUGAUAUUACUACAGACGCCAGGCGACGCGAGCUGCAUUUGUCAUGAUGCAUUCGCGACUGCACCGGAUGCCCUCCACAUUAUUCUCGUUAAUCGUGCUCACUGCGCCGAGGCAAAAGAAAGACAAUGGGCGCAGGUGCCUUUAAGGUAUCUCGACCUUGCGAGGCACGGCUGCACGUGCCUGGGGAGCUGUCCGUGCGAACACUCCCUGGCACACACCUGCCUCGGCGGCCCCAACCUACGUACCGUUCUGCUUCGAGCUUUGAUCCCCCCACUGUCCCUCGGGUGCCCUGGAGUUCCUGCGCCGCCUGCUCUACUAUCAUCUCAGGUGCUCUCCUGAGACUUCCGUUUGUCGGUUACAUGUGCCCUACAGUUGGAUCAUUACUUAUAAUAAUAAAAAACCCGAUCUAUCGUCACGACGAUAGAUCGCGAAUGCGGCUUUUGCAACAUACCGCGCCCGUGCGAAGAUAAUUACGGAACGCCAACGAGGAAUCUGACCACAGCUUCGAGCUCGUAACGUCGUCGAGUGACACUCCUGCAACAGGCGUGACCGCUGAAAACCGCAUACCGCCAGAAACUUGAACAGGAUCAUCCCUCGGUUGCAUAACUGCCAGCUGUACGGCCAACAUGGACCACACCCACACCAUCCCGCAACAUAGAAUAAAGAACCGACUUAUAAAGCCCAAACACACGGCUGCACGCACACAUCACAACAUCACAAGCG